GGGGAUAUAGCUCAGAUGGGAGAGCGCUUGAAUGGCAUUCAAGAGGCCGUGGGUUCGAGUCCCAUUAUCUCCACUA
rnacentral:tRNA from 1 species